AUGUGUGACUUUGUUGCAGGUUCCCCAUCCCAGCCUGUGCUGACCCAGCUGUCCUCUCUCUCUGUAUCCCUGGGAACAACUGCCAGACUCACCUGCACCCUGAACAGUGGCUUCAUUGUUAGUGGUCACAAUAUACACUGGUUCCAGCAGAAGCCAGGGACCCCUCCCCAGUUUCUCCUAUUUUUCUACUCAGACUCAAAUAAGCACUGGUGCUCCAGGGUCACCAGCUACUUCUCUGGCUCCAACGAUGACUUGGCCAAUGCAGGGCUUCUGCAUUUCUGUCAGCUGCAGCCUGAAGAUGAGGCUGACAAUUACUGUGCUACAGUUCCUGACAGUGGGAACAGCUUUCAUUCCUAA